AGAGUUUGAUCAUGGCUCAGAUUGAACGCUGGCGGCGUGCCUAACACAUGCAAGUCGAGCGGUAACAGGUGUAGCAAUACAUGCUGACGAGCGGCGAACGGGUGAGUAAUGCUUCGGAAUCUACCCAUGUAGUGGGGAAUAACCAGCCGAAAGGUUGGCUAAUACCGCAUACGUCCUACGGGAGAAAGCAGGGGAUCGCAAGACCUUGCGCUAUUGGAUGAGCCGAAGCCGGAUUAGCUAGUUGGUAGGGUAACGGCCUACCAAGGCGACGAUCCGUAGCUGGUCUGAGAGGACGACCAGCCACACUGGGACUGAGACACGGCCCAGACUCCUACGGGAGGCAGCAGUGGGGAAUAUUGGACAAUGGGGGCAACCCUGAUCCAGCGACGCCGCGUGUGUGAAGAAGGCCUGCGGGUUGUAAAGCACUUUUAGUGGGGAUGAAAAGUUCAGGGCUAAUACCUCUGGAUCUUGACCUAACCCACAGAAAAAGCACCGGCUAACUCUGUGCCAGCAGCCGCGGUAAUACAGAGGGUGCAAGCGUUAAUCGGAAUUACUGGGCGUAAAGCGUGCGUAGACGGUUAUAUAAGUCGGGUGUGAAAGCCCCGGGCUCAACCUGGGAAUUGCAUUCGAGACUGUGUAGCUAGGGUGCGGAAGAGGGAAGCGGAAUUUCCGGUGUAGCGGUGAAAUGCGUAGAUAUCGGAAGGAACACCAGUGGCGAAAGCGGCUUCCUGGUCCAGCACCGACGUUCAGGCACGAAAGCGUGGGGAGCAAACAGGAUUAGAUACCCUAGUAGUCC
rnacentral:rRNA from 1 species